CAUGUACUCCCUCCGUCUGGAAAUGCUUGUCCUAAAAAUAGAUGUACCUAGACUUAUUUUAGUUAUAGAUACAUCCAUUUUAUUCAUUUCUAGGACACGUAUUUCCUGAUGGAGGGAGUGUGAA
rfam:Hordeum vulgare subsp. vulgare, WGS project CAJW01000000 data, contig: morex_contig_40667